rnacentral:lncRNA from 1 species
AAUUUUAAGGCGAAUAUUCAAGGCAAAAUCAAGUUUACUCUUUACCUAAUCUCUUGUUUGAACUAUGUUUUUACCAAUUGAUUUCUAAUCAUGAGNGUUUUUACCAAUUGAUUUCGUUUUUGAGCUUGUUUCUGUUGUAAUCAUGAGCUAAAACUCAUACCUUCUGUUUAGGAUAGAUGAUUUUGUGAUUAUGGUUUGAUUUUAUGGUUAGGAUUAAUUUUAAUUGGUGAUAUUGUUUUGUUAAGCUUGUUAAAGAACCUCAUAUGUUAAUAACAACUAUUCUCUGUUAAUAAAUCAGUAAUUAAGUUGUAUGAACAUCUCUUAGUUAUAAAUUUCAUAUGAUUUAUGUGACCACAUAGUUAUAGGUCUAGGAAUAACGAAUGUGAAACUAGAAUUAACUAGAAGCUAGGUAAAUUAAUGUGUGAGCUUGUGUGAUACACCAUUAACAAGAG